GAGGAAUAUUGGACAAUGGGCGCAAGCCUGAUCCAGCCAUGCCGCGUGCAGGAUGACGGUCCUAUGGAUUGUAAACUGCUUUUGUACAGGAAGAAACACUGGUUCGUGAACCAGCUUGACGGUACUGUAAGAAUAAGGAUCGGCUAACUCCGUGCCAGCAGCCGCGGUAAUACGGAGGAUCCAAGCGUUAUCCGGAAUCAUUGGGUUUAAAGGGUCCGUAGGCGGUUUAGUAAGUCAGUGGUGAAAGCCCAUCGCUCAACGGUGGAACGGCCAUUGAUACUGCUAGACUUGAAUUAUUAGGAAGUAACUAGAAUAUGUAGUGUAGCGGUGAAAUGCUUAGAGAUUACAUGGAAUACCAAUUGCGAAGGCAGGUUACUACUAAUGGAUUGACGCUGAUGGACGAAAGCGUGGGUAGCGAAC
rnacentral:rRNA from 1 species